GACGAACGCUGGCGGCGCGCCUAACACAUGCAAGUCGAACGGAGCUUAGAGAGCUUGCUUUUUAAGCUUAGUGGCGAACGGGUGAGUAACGCGUGAGUAACCUGCCCUAGAGUGGGGGACAACAGUUGGAAACGACUGCUAAUACCGCAUAAGCCCACGGUGCCGCAUGACACUGAGGGAAAAGGAUUUAUUCGCUUUAGGAUGGACUCGCGUCCAAUUAGCUAGUUGGUGAGGUAACGGCCCACCAAGGCGACGAUUGGUAGCCGGACUGAGAGGUUGAACGGCCACAUUGGGACUGAGACACGGCCCAGACUCCUACGGGAGGCAGCAGUGGGGGAUAUUGCACAAUGGGGGAAACCCUGAUGCAGCGACGCCGCGUGGAGGAAGAAGGUUUUCGGAUUGUAAACUCCUGUCGUUAGGGACGAUAAUGACGGUACCUAACAAGAAAGCAC
rnacentral:rRNA from 1 species